rnacentral:rRNA from 1 species
CCGGCGACCGGCGCACGGGUGAGUAACACGUAUGCGACCUGCCCCCCGCAGGGGGAUAACCGGGAGAAAUCCCGACUAAUACCGCGUAACGCCGCGGACCUGCAUGGGUCUGCGGCCAAAGGAAGCGAUUCCGGCGGGGGAUGAGCAUGCGGCGCAUUAGCUAGUCGGCGGGGUAACGGCCCACCGAGGCGACGAUGCGUAGGGGUUCUGAGAGGAAGGUCCCCCACACUGGUACUGAGACACGGACCAGACUCCUACGGAAGGCAGCAG